UUGCUCCUACGGGAGGCAGCAGUAGGGAAUUUUCGUCAAUGGGCGCAAGCCUGAACGAGCAAUGCCGCGUGAACGAGGAAGGUCUUCGGAUCGUAAAGUUCUGUUGAAGGGGAAAAAGAGCGGAGAGAGGAAAUGGUCUCCGAUUGAUAUUACCCUUCGAGGAAGUCACGGCUAACUACGUGCCAGCAGCCGCGGUAAUACGUAGGGAGCGAGCGUUAUCCGGAAUUAUUGGGUGUAAAGGGUGCGUAGACGGGAACUUAAGUUAGUUGUGAAAUCCCU
rnacentral:rRNA from 1 species